rnacentral:rRNA from 1 species
GACGAACGCUGGUGGCGUGCCUAAUACAUGCAAGUAGAACGCUGAAGGAGGAGCUUGCUCUUUCUGGAUGAGUUGCGAACGGGUGAUUAACGCGUAGGUAACCUCCCUGGUAGCGGGGGAUAACUAUUGGAAACGAUAGCUAAUACCGCAUAAUAGUAGAUGUUGCAUGACAUUUGCUUAAAAGGUGCAAUUGCAUCACUACCAGAUGGACCUGCGUUGUAUUAGCUAGUUGGUGAGGUAACGGCUCACCAAGGCAACGAUACAUAGCCGACCUGAGAGGGUGAUCGGCCACACUGGGACUGAGACACGGCCCAGACUCCUACGGGAGGCAGCAGUAGGGAAUCUUCGGCAAUGGACGGAAGUCUGACCGAGCAACGCCCGCGUGAAGUGAAAGAAAGGGUUUUUCGGGAUCCGUAAAGCUUCUGUUUGU